rnacentral:rRNA from 1 species
GACGAACGCUGGCGGCGUGCUUAACACAUGCAAGUCGAACGGAAAGGCCCUGCUUGCAGGGUACUCGAGUGGCGAACGGGUGAGUAACACGUGGGUGAUCUGCCCUGCACUUCGGGAUAAGCCUGGGAAACUGGGUCUAAUACCGGAUAGGAGCCAUUUUUAGUGUGAUGGUUGGAAAGUUUUUUCGGUGUAGGAUGAGCUCGCGGCCUAUCAGCUUGUUGGUGGGGUAAUGGCCUACCAAGGCGGCGACGGGUAGCUGGCCUGAGAGGGUGGACGGCCACAUUGGGACUGAGAUACGGCCCAGACUCCUACGGGAGGCAGCAGUGGGGAAUAUUGCACAAUGGGCGCAAGCCUGAUGCAGCGACGCCGCGUGGGGGAUGACGGCCUUCGGGUUGUAAACUCCUUUCGCUAGGGACGAAGCUUUUUGUGACGGUACCUAGAUAAGAAGCACCGGCUAACUACGUG